UAGUCCACGCCCUAAACGAUGCUAACUCGACAUGUGCGAUAUACAGUGCGUGUCUUAGGGAAACCGUUAAGUUAGCCACCUGGGGAGUACGUUCGCAAGAAUGAAACUCAAAGGAAUUGACGGGGAUCCGCACAAGCGGUGGAGCAUGUGGUUUAAUUCGAUGAUACGCGAGGAACCUUACCUGGGCUAGAAUGCGAGUGACCGGCUGGGAAACCAGUCUUUCUCUUCGGAGACACAAAGCAAGGUGCUGCAUGGUUGUCGUCAGCUCGUGCCGUGAGGUGUUGGGUUGAGUCCCGCAACGAGCGCGACCCCUAUCCUUAGUUGCCAACAGAUAAUGCUGGGGACUCUAGGGAAACUGCCUGCGCAAGCAGCGAGGAAGGCGGGGACGACGUCAAAUCAUCAUGGCCUUUAUGCCCAGGGCUACACACGUGCUACAAUGGACGGCACAAAGGGCCGCGACCUAGCGAUAGGAAGCCAAUCCCAAAAAGCCGUUCUCAGUUCGGAGUUG
rnacentral:rRNA from 1 species